ACCAGGUGUAGUGACUCAUGCCUGUAAUCCCAGCAACUCAGGAGGCUGAGGCAGGAGGAUUGUGGGAUCAAAGCCAGCGUCAGCAACUUAGCAAGACCCUAAGCAACUCAGCAAGACCCUGUCUCUA
rnacentral:sRNA from 1 species